CACCAAAACCUUGGUUCAUAACUGGGUGCACAUUGGUCAUCCAAAACCACAAGGCAGUCUUAAAUGACACAACGGGGUCCUUGGCCACCGUUUCCGGAGCUCUUAAUCCGUCAAACCCGAUGGCUUUUCCGGCAGCUCCGUAGUUUCCAUUUCCGGUGAGUUGGAUCGGUCCACGGCCGUAGUAGAACUUUCCGGGAACACAUGGGUACUGUUUGUUUUGUUCAUCACAGUACCGGUUGGACUUGUUAAUCUCUUCUAUGUAGCACAAAUCUGAAAAAGCCAGACAUUUUUUUUUCUAAUUAAUUCUCUCCGGGCUUAAUCAAGAUAAUUGGCUAGUGGCAAAUCAUAUCAAUUAAAAGUUGGAGUAUUCAAUUAGUUUUAUUGAAAACUUUUAUGUGUUCAACAAACUGAGAACAUUAUUUAAUACAUAUAAAGCAUGUAAUUAAAAAGAUUAUGUUCAUUCCAACCUUAUAUAUAUUUCUAGUAGUGAACAAAUAUGGGCCCUUCGAUUUGAAAUUCAACUUCAACCUUUUGCUUUUUUUUUCUGGGGCGGCGGGGGGGCGGGGGGGAUAUAGUUUUAAAAAAUUUCAAAAACGGUUUUGAAAAUAAUAAAACAAAGAAAAGUCGUUUUCUUCUCUAUGCAUGGAUUGCUCAUAAAUACUUUGCAUGCAAAAAGAAAUAAAAUGGAGAGAACUUACGUCCAGUUUCAUGAGUGACGUGUGCAAAAAAUGCAGCAAUCUCACGCUUCGAAACUUCAGGAGAGCCGCUACCAAAUUGAGGAUAAGCCUUGGCAGCAUUCAGAAACGCAUCUCUCGUGUAGAAGCUCUUGCCGGCACAACUCGCGGCUGCCUGAUUCUUUAUGCCGUCGAAGAACUGGGGAGUCACAAUGCUAGCAACAUUUUGACACAUUACUUUGGUGGGAAAAGCUAGGGCAAGAAUGCCCACAAGAGCAAAGGUUACAAUAUUUUUUUUCAUGUUAAGUGGAGCCAUUUUGUUUAGGAGUAGAGAAAUGUGAGUGAUAUGCAAAUGUUGGUGAUGGGAGUACGGUAUUUAUAGAGUGCAAAAUGGACGUUAUGUCUGCCACGUGCUGGUGAAUUGUGAUAAAUUUGAACAUAGAGUUUAUCUCUUGUUAGGUUUUUCUAGACUUCGCAUUUGUUGUGGCUUGAAAUCUAGCUGGCUUGACUUGUCAAAAGAACUAGAAAUAAAAUAAAAGAAAAUAAAUCAAAUCUUUCGAGUGGGUUGUUGAUUGACCGCCAUCUAUAUUAAACUUUUUCAAAUUAAAUUUGAAUAAUAAUUGUACAAAAUAUAAUUUUAAAUAACUAAUUUUCAAUAAAUUUUGAGGAAAUUUGUUUUUUAAUGUAACUGAAUUAAUUGUAGAUUGGAAAAUCUUAAACUCAUACUUGUUUCGAGCUUUCAGAUAUUGAAACUCAGACAUGUUUAUUUUUAAUUAUCUACCUACUUUGUUUAUAUAUAUACACAUGCACUAGACUUUACACAAAUUUUAACAAAAAAAUAUGUGGUUUGUACUCAUUUGAGUGAUUUAAAUUUUUUUAGGUUUGUUAAUUAAUAACUAAUAACAUGGUAUCAUAUUUUCUCAGCUAAAUACUUAUUUGGUCUGUGUAUUUUUCAGUUAAGUAUCCAUUUAAUCUCUUUAUUUUAGAAAAUAUUUCAAGACAUCUUUACUGGUAAAUAUAUUACAUUCCUACCCUGAUCUUUUCUUUGAUUUUAGAAUAAUACCCUUACAAUAAUAUUGUUGGAGAUUCAAUGAAAAGAAAAAAAAAAUGAAUUUAUCAAAUUAGUCUUAAAAGUAAGAUAAAAAUUACUCUAUCUAUUUUUUGUUAUCUUAAUUUUAGGAUUAAUUUGNNNNNNNNNNNNNNNNNNNNNNNNNNNNNNNNNNNNNNNNNNNNNNNNNNNNNNNNNNNNNNNNNNNNNNNNNNNNNNNNNNNNNNNNNNNNNNNNNNNNUUAGCUUAAACAUUGCUUUAAAUUAGUUGGUUUUAAUUUAUCAUAAAUGGUUACUAGUUGUUGUAGAAUGAUAUUUAUUUCUAAUUUUCUAAUAUAUUGGUUAAUAUGCUAUUUAUUUUUUUAGAUAAAAAAUUAAUGCCAAAAAUAUUAUUGUUAGUAUUGUUGUAAAAGGUAAGAAAAAAAUAAGAGGAAGAUCGUAACAUAUUUAAAAUAGGAUGUCUUUACAUUUUUUUUUAAAAUAUGUGGACAAAAAAGAUAUUUAAAUUAAAAUAUAGGAUAUAUACCCUAAUUUCUUUAUAACUUAAUUUCCUUUCUUUCCUUAAUUCUUUUUCCUUUUUUUAGUGAUAUCAGUUAUCACAAUGUAAAAAUUAAUAAUCAGUCCAAACAUCUGAGUUUUUUUUAAUAUUUUCCGUUUAUAAAUACUGAAAUAUUUAUGUAUAUCUUCGAAACUGAAAAGUCAAGCCUUCCACUAACUCCCGUUCUCAAUUAGCGGCGUAAAUUUGGGUCCAUGAAAUGAAAGCAAUUCUUCUUGUACCCUUUUCUCCACACUAGUUCUUCUCGUUCUCUUCUCGGCAUUGAUAUUCUGGUGUGUCACUAAUCAAUUUAAUAUCUCAAAAUAUUUUGGUGACGUCCUAAUGUAUACAAACUUUCAUUCUCAAGUACAAGGGUUUCAUCUGUUUUAAUAAAAUCAAUAUUUAAUAUAUUAUAAAAUCAUGUAAUUUAAUAAUAUGUUUGUACUAAUUUUAUUAAAUCAUAUGACUCAAUAACGUGGCAUAUGAAAUAAACAAUAAGCUGUCCACAUGAAAAAAAAAAGUUUAUAUAUAUACUUAUAAAAUUAAUUAGAAAAUAUCCUUAUUAAAAAUCUAACCGAUCAAAGGAGCUUCUAAAACUUUCACGUAGGAUAAGUUGUCUUUUUCCAUACAAAUACUUAAAAACUUUUUUCUGAUACAAACCCCAACAUAUGAUUAUGGCCAUAGAAAAUUUGAAAAUUUUGUCCCAAAAAAAAACUUGAAAGAAAAGCUUAAAACUAAUAACGAAAAAUAGGAUAAAUUAAUCAAACACAUGAUGACCAAUUUUGCAUUAAUCUAUUUGUGAUAGCCAAUUUUAAUCAAAAUAAAUAUAUCUGCAAUCGGAAAAAUAACUUUUUUUUUUUUACUUCGAUAUUAGAAACAGGCAGCCACUGAUUGGGACCAUCAAGUAUACAAGUUUACAACGGUACGAAACUUGUUUCGAUUGCAUUCGGCUGCCCGAAAAACGGGAAAAAAAGAAAACAGAUUUUCUUUGUAAUGUCGGUAGCAUGUUCUUUUGACAAGUUUAAUAAAAGAUUCAAAGAAAAUCUAUGACUUUUUACUCAAAACUUUCCACCUGGGGAGAUGAAAACUGCACAGUUAAAGCAUCAAACACAUUGUUCAUGAAUCAUGAUCAAAGGAAAAAAAAUUUCUGAGCUGGAUUGAAAACAUCAAAAUCAGUAUUCAUAAAUCAUGAUAAGAAGAUAAAAGUUCUCUUUGUCGGAUAAGAAACAUUAGCUUUUCAGAAUUUUUUUUUUUUUUAAAAUGAACUUAGAAGGAUUCCAAGUGUCCCUUUUACUAAUUUAUAAAUAGGGUAAUUUGCCCUUAUUUGUAUGAAAAGCCAACCACAUCCUCCUGACAAAAAAAAAAAAAAGGGGCAAAAAGCCAACCUCAUCCGUCGAAUCAGCCAGUAAUUUUUUACACGUGUACAAUUUUUGGGAUUUCUUAACACAUGCUGUUUGGAAAGCAUCUCGUAUCGCCCAAAAUAAAAAGUGCAUAAUUUUCUUUUUUUCAAAGGUUCUUUUAUAAAUGAUAUCGGUCAAUGGAAUUAUUGUUUUGCUCUAAUUUUUUAUUAGGCUCUUCUCUUGGGAUUUUUGUCCUUCAUUCUAAGCCUUCUGACAAAUCACAAUUGGGGCUACUUUGAAUGAUAAAGCUUGCUGGACUUAUGACUAGGCUCCUUUUGGUAUGUCAUUUCAUUUGAAUAUGUAAUUUCUUUAAUUACGUUUGAAAAGGAAAAAUAUGACAAGAAAGAGGAGUACACUAUAAUAGUUGUCUGAGUCUGAUAAUGGACUGUACAGUGCUUACCUUGAUAGAACUCAGUGCACAAAGUAGUUGAGCAUACAUAACAAAAUCCCCAAACUUUACUCCGUUGCCAAACAUGUCUAAGUUAAAUUUACUCUAUUAUAAAAAAGUCUUGGGCGUUGGGUGUUUUAGGAGCACCACAUCAUUCACAUUCACAUUAUAAUAUUUGAGCAAAAGAAAAUUGCCUAAAAUAUGUAUGAUUAUCUGCAGGCUUUAAGUUUUAUCCAAUUAAAGAAUUGAAUGUUCAUCAUUUAUCAAAUUAAUAACUAGUUUUUAAAGAAAUUAUGGCUCUAAAGUAUUUCCAGUUUUCUUUAAUUUCAUAGACGAGUCAAUUAACAACAAAAAUAAUCCAUUAAUUUAUGGCAGACGAGAACAAUAUUUCAAUUGCAAAUCAACCUGAAAGUUGUUUACAAACAUAUCAUAAUCUAUAGGAACAAAUCAGUUAUAUAUAUAUAUAUAUAUAUCUUAUGGCAAAAAAAAAACAUACAAAUUAACUUUAUUCUUGAUUUUUUUCUACACGACAAUAGUUGUUUACAAUUGUAUGAUUCUGGCUGAUGGAGGUAUAAACCACAAAUCAUGUGAUUAGUAAUUAGUUCUUUCAACUAUUGUUCAAGCAAUAAAGAGUCCCAUUUCAUGGCCAAGAUUGCACGUCAACCAGAAAAAGACAUGAUCUUAAAUGAUAUAACAAAAUAAAUAUGUAGUAAUUUCACUUACAAACUAAGGGUAUUUUUUACUUUCCUCCAUUGAUUAUUCAAAAAAACUUCCGCUGACCUGAAAACAUUUUUUACCAUAACAGUUGUGUGGCUGUUUAGUGGACCUUGAGGCGUUCCAUAGGACAUCCACUGAUUCCAAAUAAAAAACGCACCCUUUGUUGAGUCCGGCCCAAUACAUCUUUUGUCAUCUACAAUAAAUUAUUUUACAAUUUAUGUUUAUGAUUUUUGGACUUAAUAACAGCGGUUCAUUGACAAUCUACUUUAACAGUAAGGGAACCUAUUUUUAGGUUGCAAAACUUGCAGCAAUAAAUUAGCUUCCCCAAAAGAGAAAUAAAGAUUUCACAUUCUAAUUAAAUAUCAAGGAAAUUAAUUAAUUGUGCUCCAUUAUUCCAACUUCCGAGAUCAGUACAUCAAAAUUGAACAUUAAUAAUUAAAUUGUUCAAAACUUGUUUCGAUAAGCUAGCUAGUUCCCAAAUGGAAGUAUAAGAUUUCACUUCCUUAGAUAGACACGAUAAUCUUUCACUAUAAAUUUAAAUUAAACCUUAUUAAAGGUCUUGAAUUCAUUGUACGCACAUAGUUUGAACCUCAUAUAGACCACCAACGUAACCAUGAAGAAAACUAUCUUCUAUAAAAGAUUUUCCCACCAAAGCUGAACAAGUAUCAGAUUUAGGGUUAGGAUUAGGAUUUGUCAACAUUUAGAAAUUUGGAUUUAGAUUCAGGAUUUGGCAACAUUCGAAUUUCGGGUUAGGUUUUGGUAGUUUUCCUGUUGUAUUUUAAUGGCUAUUAACAAGAAAUUAAUCAACUCACACAACUUUGAUCAAUUAAAGACAGAAUGGAAUCAAGAACAGAAAAUGAUUCAGUCAAACAAGAACCUAGAAAACUAUUCACAGUGAACAAGCUUCCAAGUUUCAAAGGAAAAAUGAACAAGAUCUCAUUACUCAAAUGCUUUACAAUCAGAUCAAUUGUUUUGAGGACACUUCAAGGAUUCCAAAGAAUCUAGAAUCACCUUUUUUAGCUAAGAAACAAAAGAGAAAUCACACACAAAGCAAUGCACAGCAGGCCCUUUCAUAUUUUGGAAAUUUUCUAGAAACACCUUAACAACCUUUAACCUUUUUGCCACAUUAGCGCAGAAUUUACAAAUUGACUCCUCAUUUGAAGUCGAUUUGCACAUUACCCAACAACUUUCAUUCGAUUACAUUUUAGUCCAAAAACAUAACUCAUGUCCUCACACUCUCCACCUUGCAGAUCUGAUUCAGCAUUACUCUUGACCAUAAGUGCUUUAAAAAAAAAACCUUCAACCACGCAACUUAACAACUAGAACCAUUUCCAAUACCAAUCAAGUCUACACAAAUCUUAAAUUUGGCUGUUGGAAUUACUUCUGUUAACAUAUCAGUAGGGUUGAUAUCUGUAUAUAUUUUUGUUACUACAACAAACCCUUUUGCGACCUCAUCUCUGAUAAAGUGCAACUUCAUAUCAAUGUGUUUGGUUCUCCCACGAUAAAUUUCAUUUUUUAUAAGCUGAAUCGCACUCUAAUUAUCACAAAAGAUCUAAAUUGUCUUUUGUUUCAACCAAAAUUCAUUCAGUAGCCUUCUCGGCCACAAUGAUUCUUUUACUGCCUCUAUUGCAGCAAAAAUUCAGCCUCAGUAGAUAACAAAGCUACUAUGUGUUGUAAAGUAAGUUUCCAACUUAUGAGACAAUUUUCUAGCAUGAACAGGUAUCCAGAGAUAGAAUUUCUCCUAUCUAAGUCACCUGCAAAAUUAGAGUCCACAUAGCCUCUAACUUCAUAGACUUCUUGCUUGGAUUUGCCAUACACCAGACCAUGAUCUAAAGUACGUUUCAAGUACCUCAUAACCCAUUUCAUAGCAUCCUAAUAAAGCUUAUCAGGAUUACUCAUAAACCUGCUUACUACACUUACUGCAUAAGCUAUGUCUGCUCUGGUGCAAGCCAUUGCAUACAUUAAGCUUCCUACAGCCAGUAAAUAUAGAAUUUCUUAGCAUAUGAUAUUGGAGACAUAUCAUUAGAGAGUUUAAAUUGAGCUCCCAAAAGUGUCAUUACAGGUUUUGAAUCCAUCAUAAUAUACUUUUCUAACUCCUUACUGACAUAUCUUGAUUGGCUUAGAAACAAAGUACCAACAACUCUAUCUCUAAGAAUAUCCAUAACAAGGAUCAUCUUAGCACUGCCAAGAUCUUUCAUUUCAAAUUCCCCCUUUAAUAAAUUCUUAAGUUUCUCAAUAUCACUAGAAUUUUUACCAACAAUGAGUAUAUCAUCAACAUACAACAAAAGAUACAUAGCUCCACCUGAGCUUAUGUUCCUAUGAUAGACAUGUUGUACAAAUUUUAUUGAACUCGCAAGUGCACGAAUCUAUUUUAGAAUAGAUCAAUGGUGACAAGUGUCGAUCCCACGAGGAGGUGGAUUUUAAUUGUGUGUAGAAUUAAUUUUUCUAAAUGGGUGGUUGGAAUUAUGGUAAAGAUGAUUUGGAAUAUCUUAAAAUUUAAAUUGAAAUGGCAGAAUUAAAUUAAAAUGGAAACUAUAAUAAUUGAAGCGCUUGGGUAUCUAGAUCCGCAUCAACAUGCACCAUGGGCUAAAUAUUUCUUAUUAAUGCCAAUUAAAUCAUGAGGGGGGAAUCCACACCUCAUGAACCACACUCUAAUCAAUAUGGUGCUAAGAGCUUAUCGUACCAAAUAAUAAUAACUUUGUACUAGGGAGCCGGUAAAAUCAGUGCGGUAUCUAGACAAGAUUAUUAUUAUUUGUCGACGAAAAGUCAAAACAUCCACAAAAAUUAGAGGUGAAGAGAAAAUAAAUUUACCAAAUAAAGCCCAUGACAUAUGUUGAGACUUCACCUUCAACCCAAGCUUGAAAGAAAAUUAACUACUCAUAAUUGAACUAGGAGCAAAAUAAGAAUUUAUUAAAAUACGUAGAAAAUACAAGAUGGAGAAGGAAUUAUAGAAAAUGGAACUUAAAAUUGAAUUCAGAGAUAUCAAAAUAGGGGGGAGAGGUCCUAUUUUUAUAGAUACAUUGAGUAAACAAUGGCUAUCGAAUUAAAAACAGUUUGAACGCUCAGGAUUGCGCCACGUCAUCAGUCAACAGUACGCAGUUUGACCACGCGGUUUGAACAGUGAUACGGUUUGACCACACGGUUUGAACAGUCAACUGGUUUGAAUAGUGACACGGUUUGGUUGAAAAUAAUCCUGUGUAUAUGCAUGUACUGUACGCGCGAUUUUUAGUCCACUGAUAUGCUGCCGCGUCACCAAUCAACAGUGCAUAAGAAUUUUCUCCAAUGGAAUCGUGUCACCUCGUCAGUCAAUGCCACAUCAUCGGUCAAUGCCACGUCAUUGAUCCGUCUAUGUGAACAGUGUCGUGAACAGUAACGUAAACAAUACCGUACAUGUGAAUAAUAUCGUACAUGUGAACAAUGAUAUUUUUCCUUUUAUGCUCCUCCUAAGGUUUUCGACUGUCCUGAGUUCAAAAGUGAUGUCCGUUUUGCCGUCUGAUCUCUAGUUCAUUGUGAAAUGACCAUGAUGUCCCUAAAAUACAUAAAAUACUUAAUUAAAAUAAAACAUAUAUAAUUGAAUCACAAGAAACUUAAAAUACAUAAAAGUAAGGGUGUUAAUAAGACUUGAAAUGUAAAAUGACGAUUUUCUCCUUUAUAAAUAUAUAUUUUCUAACACUCAACAAGAUACAAUUAUCAUAUGUGCUCUUGUAAUAGCCAUUAGAGAUCAUAAACUGGUCAAAUCUCUUACAUUGCCUAGGAGACCCUUUCAAGCCAUAUAGAGACUUAUGCAGAAGACAUACAUAAUCCUUAUGUCCCUUUACUUAAAAACCUUCAGGCUGUGACAUUAAUAUCUUUUCUUCAAGAUUAUCAUGUAAGAAGGCAGUCUUUAUAUCCAUUUGUUCAAGCUCUACAUGAAGCAAAGUCACCAUAACAAGUAAGGUUCUAAUUGAUUUGUGUUUUACAGCAUGUGAGAAGAUUUCAUUAAAAUAUACCCCUCAUUUUGAAACCCCUUGCCACAAGUCUUGCCAUAUAUCUUGAGUCUUUAACACAUGGAAUACCCUCAUUCUUCUUGAAUAUCCAUUUGCAGCUGACAAUUUUCCUAUUUCUUGGAUUAGAAACCAAUGUCCAUGUCUGAUUCCUUACCAGAGAAUCCAUCUCUUCCCUUAUUGCUUUAAUCUAGUUAUUGUUGUACUUAGUGCUUUUGCGUAGCUGCUAGGCUUUUCAAUUGAAACAUCCUCUACACUCGUCAAUGCAUAUGCAACUAUGUCUGUAUAUGCAUACCUUUUUGGGGGUAUGAUAUGUCUUCUUUAUAUGUCCAUAUCUAAUUGAUAUUAUUGCAGAUCAGUAACUUGUGGUGCUGCAUCUUCAAUUACUACUGUAUCUUGAGAAUAAUCUUCAACAGCUUCUGGUUGUACUUCAUCUUUAUGAGCACUAGACAACUCUACCUCAAUAUUAACACCUUGAUUAAUGACUCCAGUAGUCAGUGUCUUAUUUACAUUAAUAUCAGUAUCAGAAGUUACUUGAUCAGACUUAUUGAUUACAACAACUUCAUUAAACAGAAUAAAUAAUUAAACACUUAUUAGCUUUUCCACACCAAACUCUGUAGCCUUUAACCCCAUCUAUAUAACGAACAAAUGCUCAUUUGACAGCUUGUGCAUCAAGCUUCCCUUGUCUAAUAUGAACAUACGUAGGAUGCCCAAAUACCCUGAGAUAUUUAUAGCUUGCAAGUUUUCCAGACUAGACUUCUUAUGGAGUUUUGAACCCAAUGGCUGAUGAUGGACUUCUAUUAAUGAGAUAACAGGCUGUUGAGAUAGCUUCAACCCAAAAACUCCUUGGUAAUUAAUAAUUGAUCAAUAAGCAUCUUGUCUUAUAAACAAGGGUUCUGUUCAUCUUUUCAACUAAGCCAUUUUGCUGAGGGGUGAGCCUUACCGUCUUAUGCCUCUUAAUCCCUCAUUCUUGAUAAAAAAAAAACUUUAAACUCUUUAUUACAGAAUUCAAGUUCAUUGUCUGUCCUAAGGCAUUUCACUUUGAAACCAUAUUGAGCCUCCACCAAAGCCUUCAAGACUUUAAACUUUUCAAAGACUUGAUCUUUGGUUUUCAAAUAUAUAUACCCAAACCUUUCUGGAGUAAUCAUUUAUCACAGAUAUAAAGUACUUUCCACCACUUAGAGAAGAGACCUGACCAGGCGCUCAAAGAUCAGCAUGCACAUAGUCUAAAGGUUGUUUAGACACAUGCAUCCCUUUAGUAAAUUUGACAUGUGUGCUUUGCUAAAAAUACAGUUUUCACAUAAGUCUAACUCAAUUAUUUUGUCACCACAGAGCAACCCUUGAAUACUUAAUUUUUGCAUUCCCCUAAUACUCAUAUGGUCAGGUCUAAGAUGUCAUAACAUAGUUCUAUCAAGCUCAGAAAUAGUUGUCAUUAUAGUUGACACAAGCACUGAUGAUCCUUCUAAUAUAUAAAGACCAUUUUUCUUAAUCCCUUUCAUUACCAUCUCAGUCCUUUUCAUAAUCUUUAAACCACUAUUUUCAAAUUUGAAGAAGUAUCAUGUACUAUCCAGCAUGCCUAAAGAGAUUAAGUUCCUCUUUAGCCUAGGUGUAUGUCUCACAUCACAUAGAGUUAUAACAAUCCCAUCAAACAUCUCUAUUUUGAUAAACCCUAUACCAAAAAUCUUACACACAUUGUUGUUUCCCAUCAAAACUCUACCACUAUCCACAUAUUCAUACUCAUAAAAAAAACUUCUAUCAGGACACAAAUGAAAGGAACAAUCUAAAUCAAGGACCUAAUAACCUCUAAUGUUGUUGUUUAAGGCUACCAACAAGUCAGCACUAUGGUAUCCAUCAUCAGAUAAAUCAUCUGAGGCCACUGCUGCAUCUCAUAUUCUCUCUUUAUCAUAUUUCUUUUUCUCAGAACAAUCUCUAAUGUAAUGGCCUUGUUUCUUACAGUAAAAACACUUCCUCUUCUUCAUUUUUUUUCUUUUGCAGAUCUAUCAAAAUUGUACGUGAAAAGUUCUCAUUUAUCCUUUAAUAAUGCAUAUUUUUUGUCACUGUUUAAAAGUUGGAACAAAAUGAGUAAUAAAUUUCAUUGGAACUCAAGUUGUAAAAAUAAAUUAUAAGAUAGAUCGAGCAUCAUUCUCCCUAAUUUUAAUUAAUAGAUCAAACUUUUUCUUCUGGAUAAUUAUUUCGAGGAAUAGUAUCCUUAGCUCGUUUACGUAGGCAACAAGUUAGCAUAACCUACAUAUGAAACAAUAUCUUCUAAAGACUUGAAAAUUCUCGUAAGCAAGAAGUUAGCAUAACCUACAUAUAAAACAAUAUCUUUUAAAGACUUGAAAAGUCUAGUCAAUUUUCUAAACUUUCAUUCUUGAACGAUGUCUAUUUUCUUAUAGGUAAACUCAAGGGACAUUUUCUUUAAAAAAAGUUGAUAAAACAAAUAUGAAAUUGAAUUAAAUUCUCAUAAUUAGAACCGAAGCAGAAAAAAAAUGACGUUAUUUUAUAUUUAAGUAAUGCUACAUAGCAUGAUCUAAGAGAAUAUAAGAAAUUAAAUAAAAAAUAUUAAAUUUUGUAAAAAAAUUAAAAAAUUUUAUAAAUAUUUAAAGGACCAAACUAAAUCGAAAAUCUUAGUUCUAAUUCUAUUCCUAUUGAUUUUUCAAGAAUUCAGUACUGAACCAAACUAAAGUUUUGGAUUCGGCCCAAUACCUAAUCAAAUCGUCUCAUUGCCCACCCUUAAGUAAAUUAUUGUUUAUAUAUAGCUUGUUGCAAAAUAAUAAUCAUAUAGGAUUCAAUUACUUUGAAACAAUUGCAACAUGUGUCAAAUUUUUUCAUUAUGAUACUUCAGCUGUAUACAUGAAAAAGUAGUUUCAACGGUAGGAUGUUGUUAUUUGGUUAUUAACAUUAUACCCUCUAAAACAUAUUUCAGAACUUAAAAACAAUCCGGCCCAAAUUCCAAAUCUCUCUCUUCUUCUCAAAAUCAUCUUCAUCUCAUCUCACCUUCAUUUCAUCUUGUUCCCUAAUUGUCGCCCAAAUUCUCGUCUUGUUCUUGUUCAUUUACAACUGAAUUUGAUUUAGCAUUAUUAUUUGUGGAACUUUCAAAUUAAAUUGACCAAAAGUGACUGUUCCUUUGGGGGCGGACCCAGGCCUCGAAAAUUUUUGCUUAAACCCCUUAAUUUUUUAUAAUUUUUCAUAAAACAAUAUUUAUUUUACUUUUAAAUAUGUCCCCAAUUCAACCUUUUUUUUUUCUUCAAUUAGAGUUAGAGAUUAUAUAUUUAUUGAAUAAAUUGAAAUCAUCAGAAGUUUAAAGACUUAGCACUGCUUUACCUUAUUAUAAAAAAUAUUAUAAUUUGGUCUAAUUGAAAAAAAAAAUGUCAAUAGAUUAUAAUAUUAUCACUAUGAGUAAUUUUAAUCUUAUAAUAAGAGAAUCUUUUACUUUAGGGAAAAAGAUACCUACAUCCUCAAGGUUUAGAGAAAUGGUUAUGUAGAUCUAAAAUUUUUAAUAAAAGAUACCAAGACCCACUUUUGAUUAUAAUACCAUUUAGCACUAUUAACUCAAAAUUUUUUUGUAAGGUUGUCCUACUAUCUUAGUAUGUUAAAUUUGUUGGAAAAAAUCCAAUACUAUUGGGUUAUGUGACAGAAUAAUAAGUCUCUAAAUGGUAUGAUUGAGGUGGUGCGAUGAUCCGACACAAAUAUUUCUUGUCAAACAAAGGGUUCAAAGCCAUAAAAUUAGUAGAGUAAAUGCAAUAAAAUAAUGUUAUUCAUAAAGCUGAAGUUUUAUGCUCCUCCAAAAUUGAUUUAGCUUACUGGCAACCCCGAUAAAAGCUGCCCGGUGCCGGCUAUCAGCCAUCUUUAUAAAUGUGUUGAUUUAUUUAAUAAAUUGAAAAUACAUAAGAAAGUAAGGAGGCCAAAUAAAAUUUAGUAUUGCAAAAGAUUGAAAAAAAGGCGCCACUGUGAUACUACGGUACGAAAGUUGUCGCGCAGUUUCCUUUGUCCUAAUCUCUAACACGAUUCUUCUCAUAAUUCCAUGGAAACAUUGUCUUGUUCUGAACCAAUUAUUGUUGUCAAAUACUUUGUUACAUUCUUUUUAUGAUACACAUAUUAUCAAAAUAUUUGUUACAUUUAUUAAGUUAUUAAUUCAUCAUAUUUUUUAAGUCCUAUGUUACAAAUAUUAUGUUAUGAAAAAGCUGGGUUACUUAAAGUUGGUGUCCAAUCCGACACUCAAUCAAUCACUAAAGCUAGUAUUGCUCUUUGUAUAAAGUUAGUUUCUUUUUUCACUGACAAACAUCUAUCAUAUUGCUUUUCCUAAAAAAGCCAAAGCUAAAUCAAGGUGGAGUUUCUCCAAGAAGCAUAAUUAAUCACAAACCAUAUAAGCAAUAAAAUAUGGUCGGCAACACCCUUUUAUUUCUUCAAUUUAUUUUGUUUUAGGUACAUGAAACCACCCUAUUUUAUAAAAUUACACCACAUUAGGAACACACUUUUAUUUCUUCAAUUUAUUUUGUUUUCGAUACAUGAAACCACCCUAUAUUAUAAAAUUACGCCACAUUAUUUCCACAAGCCAGUGAAGUAUCGGCGAAAACAUCUUAACAAUAGAGAUUUGGGCCAGGAGCAACACCAAAUUUGUUGCAAUAAUCCUUAUAAUAUCCGUUGCGAGCUUGAACCUGAGCAGGUUGCUUGCCACCGCAUUCAAUGGCUCCAUUGAUUCUCUGAAUUGUUGCACCAAAACCUUGGUUCAUAACUGGGUGCACAUAGGUCAUCCAAAACCACAAGGCAGUCUUAAAUGACACAACGGGGUCCCUGGCCACCGUUUCCGGAGCUCUUAAUCCGUCAAACCCGAUAGCUUUUCCGGCAGCUCCGUAGUCGCCAUUUCCGGUGAGUUGGAUCGGUCCACGGCCGUAGUAGAACUUUCCGGGAACACAUGGGUACUGUUGGUUUUGUUCAUCACAGUACCUGUUGUACUUGUUAAUCUCUUCAACGUAGCACAAAUCUGAAAAAGCAAGACAUUUUUUUUUAAUUAAUUCUCUCUAGGCUUAAUCAAGAUAAUCGGCUAGUGGCAAAUCAUAUCAAUUAAAAGUUGGAGUAUUCAAUUAGUUUUAUUGAAAACUUUUAUGUGUUCAUCAAACUGAGAACAUUAUUUAAUAUAUAAAAAGCAUGUAAUUAAAAAGAGUUGUCUAAAUAUACAUGCUAAUUAAGAAAGGCUCUUGCCAACAAGAAAUUAAAAAGCAUAGUAUAUUAUUGUAGAGGGUGAGGGUGCAUAGAUUCUCUAUAAUCGUAUCGAUAUCCUGUUGAUGUAUCAGAAAAAAAUAAAUUUCUUUUUAAAACAAACAUGGGUUGGAAAUAAUUAAUUUCGCAAGAAUUAUAUAUAUUUCGCAAACAGCAGGAAGGUUAUGUUCGUUCCAACCUCAGAUAUAUAUUUCUAGUAGUGAACAAAUAUGGGCCCUUCGAUUUGAAAUUCGACUUCAAUCUCUCUCUUUUUUUUGUGGGAGGGGGGGGGGGGGGGGGGGGGGGGAGGGACAACAGAUAAAUUAAAUUAUAAAAAAACGGAUAUAGUUUUAAAAAAUUUCAAAAACAGUUUUGAAAAUAAUAAAACAAAGAAAAGUCGUUUUCUUCUCUAUGCAUGGAUUGCUCAUAAAUACUCAUGCAAAAAGAAAUAAAAUGGAGAGAACUUACGUCCAGUUUCAUGAGUGACGUGUGCAAAAAAUGCAGCAAUCUCACGCUUCGAAGCUGUAGGAGAGCCGCUACCAAAUUGAGGAUAGGCCUUGGCAGCAUUCAGAAAUGCAUCUCUCGUGUAGAAGCGCCAGCCGGCGCAUCUCGCGGCUGCCUGAUUCUUUAUGCUGUCGAAGAACUGGGGAGUCACAAUGUUAGCAACAUUUUGACACAUUACAUUGGUGGCAAAAGCUAGGGCAAGAAUGCCCACAAGAGCAAAGGUUACAAUAUUUUUUCUCAUAAUAAGUGGAGCCAUUUUGAGGGAAAGUUCACGGAGUAAUUUAAGAAGUAAUGAGAAAUGUGAGUGAUAUGCAAAUGUUGGUGAUGGGAGUACGGUAUUUAUAGAGUGCAAAAUGGACGUUAUUUCUGCCACGUACUGGUGAAUUGUGAUAAAUUUGAACAUAGAAUUUAUCUCUGAUAGGUUUUUCUAGACUUCGCAUUUGUUGUGGCUUGAAAUCUAGCCAGCUUGACUUGUCAGAAAAACUAGAAAUAAAAUAAAAGAAAAUAAAUUAAGUCUUUCGAGUGGGUUGUUGAUUGACCGCCAUAUAUAUUAAAAAUUCUCAAAUUAAAUUUGAAUAAAAAUUAUACAAAAUAUAAUUUUACAUAAUUAAUUUUCAGUAAAUUUUGAGGUAAAUUUAUUUAUUUUAUUGUAGUUGAAUUAAUUGUAAAUUGGAAAAUCUUAAGCUCAUACUUGUUUUGAGCUUUCGGAUAUUGACAUUCAGUCAUGUUUAUUUUUAAUUGUCUACCCACUUUGUUUAUAUAAAUACACACACUAGACUUCACAAAAAUUUUAACAAAAACUUAUGUGGUUUGUACUCAUUCGAGUGAUUCAAAAUUUUUUAGGUGUACUCUUGUUAAUAACUAAUAAUGUUAAUUCUAUUGGCUCAAACUUCUGAUAAACUUCUUUUUUUCGGUUAAUCAAAACACGGUAUCAUAUUUUCUUAGCUAAAUGCAUAUUUGGUGCAUGCAUUUUUUAGCUAAGUAUUCGUUUAGUGACUUAGUCUCUCUAUUUUAAAAAAAUACCUCAAGACAUCUUUACUAGUAAAUAUAUUACAGUCCUAUCCUGAUUUUUUUCUUUACGUUUAGAAUAAUACACUUGCAAUAAUAUUAUUGGAGAUUUAAUGAAAAGCAACAAAUGUAAAUUUAUCAAAUUAGUCUUAAAAGUAAAAGUAAAAUAAAAAUUACUCUAAAUAUUUUUUAUUAUCUUAAUCUUAGGAUUAAUUUGGUAAUUGAUUUUUUCAUAAAAAAAUAACUUAGCUAGGACAUUGCUUUAAGUUAGCUGGUAUUAGUUUAUCAUAAAUGGUUACUAGUUUUAAACUGAUAUUUAUUUCUUAAUUUGCUAAUAUAUUGGUUAAUUUGCUAAUUAUUUUUUAGAUAAAAAAUUAAUGCCAAGAAUAUUAUUGCAAAGUUAUUGUUGUAAAAGGUAAGAAAAAAUAAAAGCAAGAUCGUAACAUAUUUAUAAUAGGAUGUCUUUACAUAUUUUUAAAAAUAUAAGAACUAAAAGGAUAUUUAAAUUAAAAUAUAGUACAUAUACCCUAAUUUCUUUAUAACUUAAUUUCCUUUCUUUCUUUAAUUCUUUUUUUUUUUUAGUGAUAUCACAAUUCACAACCUAGAAAUUAAUAAUCAGUCCAAAUAUCUGAGGUGUUUUGAUAUUUUCCGUUUAUAAAUAGUGAAAUAUUUAUGUAUACCUUCGAAACUGAAAAGUCAACUCCUCCACUAACUUCCGUUCUCAAGCAGUGGCGUACAUUCGUGUCCAUGAAAUGAAAGCACUUCUUCUUCUACUCUUUUCUCCACUUUAGUUCUUCUUAUUCUCUUCUCCGCAUUGAUAAUUUGGGUGGGUCACCAGUCAAUUUAAUAUCUCAAAAAUUUUUGGUGUUUUCGUAAUGUAUAUACACUUUCAUUCAUUAUAUUUUUACCAAUACACACACAAUAUAUAUAUAUAUAUAUAUAUAUAUAUAUAUAUAUAUAUAUUCAGGUGCAGGGAUCUUUAUUUUUUUUUAAUACGGAUAUACUAUUAAGUCGUGUGAUUUAAUAAAGUCAAUAUUCAAUAUAUCAUAAAGUCAUGUUUUUAUUAUAAUGUCUGCACUAAUUCCAUUAAGUUAUAUUAGUUAAUAAUAUGAAAUAAAGAAUAAGCUAUCCACAUGAAAAAAAAAAGUUUAUGUAUAUAUUUAUAAAAUUAAAUAGAAAAUAUUCUUGUUAAAAAUCUAACCGAUGAAAGUAGCUUCUAAGAGUUUCUCGUAGUAUAUGUUGUCUAUUUUCCAUACAAAUUCUUGAAACUUUUUGCUGAAACAAAUCCCAACAUAUGAUUAUGGCAAUAGAAAAUUUGAAAGUUAUGCCCAAAACAAAAAAAAAAAAAAAAAUUGAAAGAAAAGUUUAAAGCUAAUAACGAAAAAUAUGAGAAAUUAAUCAAACAAAUGAUGGCCAAUUUGCAUUAAUCUAUUCGUGAUAGCCAAUUUUAGUCAAAAUAAAUAUAUUUUCAAUCGGAAAAAUAACAUUUUUUUAACUUAGAUAUUAUCGACGGGCAGCCACUGAUGGGGACUGUCAUAUAAACAAGUUAAGUUUACAACGGCACGAUACUUGUUUCGACUGCAUUCGGCUGCCCAAAAAACGGAAAAAAAAAAACAGCUUUUCUUUGUAAUGUCGGUAGCAUGACACUAUAAUUUCUAUGAAUUACAAUUUUUUUUUAUCACAUGAGACUAUUACUCAAGAGUACAAUUUAUAUUAUAUAAAAUUAUAAUUAAUAUUUAUAAAUCAGACUAUUAUUGAAAUUAAUUUAUAUUAAUUUUAAUGAAGCACCGCUUAAAUUUUUUAUUUUCACUUAUAUUUAAGAGAUAUCCACACCAUUCAUAUUUAGUAAAGGAAAAAUAUUAUUAAAUUCUCCAUAAUUCGUUUAUAGGGGUCGAACAGCUGCACCCAGAUAAGUGAGUGCAGCUGUUCUAACCAACUUUGGCCGAGUGGCCCUAUGAAUUACAACAUUGCAUGUUCUUUUGACAAGUUUAAUAAAAGAUUUAGGAAAAAUCUAUGAUUUUGAAUCAAAAACUUUCCACCUGGGGAGAUGAAAACUGCACAGUUAAAGCACCAAACACAUCGUUCGUGAAUCAUGAUCAGAGGAAAAAAAAUUUCUUCGCUGGAUUGAAAACAUCAAAAUCAAUAUUCAUAAAUCAUGAUAAGAAGAUAAAAAGUUUUCUUUGUGGGAUAAGAAACAUCAGCUUUUCAGAUUUUUUUAAAUGAACAUGGAAGGAUUCCAGGUGUCCCUUUUAUAGUUUAUCAAAUAGGGUAAUUUGCCCUUAUUUGUACGUAAACCCAACCACAUCCUCCUCACAAAAAAAAAAAAAAAAAUGAUAAAAAACCAACGUCAUCCAUCGAACCAGCCAGUAAUUUUUCACACGUGUACAAUUUUUGGGAUUUCUUACCAUGCUGUUUGAAAAGCAUCUGGUACCGCCCAAAACAAAAAGUGCAUAAUUUUCCUUUUUUCCAAAGUUCUUUUAUAAAUUAGAUUGGUCAAUCGAAUUAUAGUGUGUUUAUUUGAGAGUUUAUGAAAUAAAAAUGAAGGAAUGAGAAUAAAAUCCAUAUUUAUUUAGUAAAAUAUAAUUUGGAAAUGAAAAUAAAAUAUGUGGAUCUUAUAUAAUUUGGGAAUAAGGAAUGAGAAUCUCAUUCCCAUGGGGGAUUGAGAAUAAAAAUGAGGGAAUGUGAAUGAAAUAUAUGUUUAUUUUUAUAUCCCUCUAAUUUUUUCAUAUUUAUCAAAUUACCCUCAUUCAAAUCACAAUUAAUUUUAUUAUUUUAAAUGUCAUUAAUAAUAAUAAUAAGUAUUAUUAUUAUUAAAUUUUAGUAACUUUAUUAUUUUAGUUAUUAUUAAUUAUUGUUAUUAUUAUUUUUAUUAAUAUUAUCAUUAAUAAUAAUAAUAAUAAUAACAAUAAUGACAAUAACUAAAAUAAUAAAGUUAAUAAAAUUUAAUAAUAAUGUAAUUUUCAUUAUCUAGAUACAUGUAUAAAUGUUAUUAUAAAAAUGAUAUUAAUAAAAAAUAAAAUGAAUAAUAAUAAUAAUAAUAAUAAAUGUUAAUAAUGAUAAUAUUAAUAAAAAUAAUAUUAACAGUAAUUAAUAAUAACUAAAAUAACAAAGUUAAUAAAAUUUAAUAAUAUUAAUAAUAUUAAUAAAAAUAAUAAUAACUAAAAUAAUAAAGUUAAUAAAAUUUAAUAAUAAUAAUAAAAGUUAAUAAUGAUAAUAUUAAUAAAAAUAAUAUUAACAAUAAUUAAUAAUAACAAAAAUAAUGAUAAUAUUGUUAAUAAUAAUAAAUUAAUUAUUUUUAUUAAUUAUUAAUACUAUGGGUAUUUUGAUAAAUUGAUUCUCAUUCCAUAAAGAAAACUAUCUUUUUAUAAAAGCAAUUCCACCAAAGCUGAAGAAGAAUCAGAUUUAGGGUUAGGAUUAGGAUUUGUCAACAUUUAGAAUUUUGGAUUUAGAUUCAGGAUUUGGCAACAUUCGGAUUUCGAGUUAGGUUUUGGUAAUUUUCCCUAAAUUUUGAUAUAUUUAUUUGUAGAUAAAAAUAUGAAUUUAUGUUUUAAUUUUAUACUUGAAAAUUAUAUUUUUACUCAAUAAUGAUGAUAGAAUAUUUCCAAAACAUUUAAUUAUAAGGCUAACAUAAUCAAAAAAGGGUAAAAUAAUCAAACGAUGAAUAAAGUUAACAUCGUUAGAAUAACAUAGGAUUUCAAGUAGGAAUGGCAAUCAAUCAGGUGGGGUUGGGCUUGGCCAAAGAAAAAGGCCAACCCGAUUAAUAGCCCUAUCAUUUCUCCUUCAGGUCGGGUCCGACCCAACCCGAUCAUAAAUUUACUUUCAGAAUUUUGCAAAUCUGGGCUGCACCAUUUUGUUACAAUUGCAAUUUAUGACCACAUCUCAAUUUCGUUCAUAUUACUUUUCAAUUUUUGUUCUCUUUCUAGUUAAAAUAUCAUGAAUAUAAAAUAGAAGAAAAUAUUUUUCUAUCUUAAAGUCAAAAUAAUUCACAAUAAAAUAGGCAAAAUAUACAAUACAAUAAUUACAAAAUAAUCCACAAUCCAACAUUGAAAACACACAACAGUAACUAAUUAAUUAUCUUGUAAUAUAUUUAGCAGAAAUUCUAAAUCAAUUUAUAAGCUUAAAUGAAAAGAUUAAUUAAUAUUUAUGAAAUUACCAAAGUUAACGGCAGCGGCUCAACCCCUCUCGGUCCCUCCUUGAGCGUGUGCAUGGCUGACAAGUUUAUGGUCGUUGAUUGAUGUUGAUGUGAUAGGACGAUGAGACAAAGCGUGGCUGGUGGCUGCUUCACAUCGUGCGGCUGAUUGGAGGCUUGGAGCAAGUGAGACAGUACGAGAGAGAACGCGGCUGAUUGAAGCAGGCGAGAAGUGGCAGCAGCACGGCAGAUUCACGUUGCAUGGUUGACGUUGAUGAUGAUGGUGUUGGUUGUCGGCUGAGUUGACUUAGGAUUUGAAAUGAGUUUGGUUGGUACUUUGGUUAAUUGGUUUUGUUCGUGGUGUGUGAUGUGUGCGUGUGUGAUUGUGAUGCGUGCAUGUGUGAUACUAUGAUGUUUGCAUGGAUGCAUCCUGCGUGUAGCGUGUAGUCGUGUGUGUUUUUUUUUUUUUUUGGAAUACAAGGUUGGGUCGGGUCUGCUUGAGCCCGAUCUUGACCCGAAAUUUGAUCAGGUCUAAAAAUUUUGGCCCGAAUCUAACCCAAAACUUGAAUAUUUGGGUCAAAGUCUGAAAAAUUAGGGUAGAGUCAGUCGGGCCAAAAAUAGGGUCGGGUUUAAUUGUCAUCCCUAAUUUCAAGUUACUUUAAAACAUGAGGUGAUUUUUACUUAGUUUCACCUAACAACAAGAGGUAAUACUCAUUUUCCCAGUUAUAAAUGAGUAAAUACUCCUUCAAUUUCUAAAAUUUGAACUAAUUAUGAUUUUAAAUAUUUUGCUACAUUUUUUUUAAUGUUCCCCAUAUUAUCAAAAUAUUUAUUGCUACAUUUUUUAAGCUAUUAAUUUGUCAUAUUUUCCGAGUUUUAUGUUACAUAUAGCACGUUAGGAAAAAGCUGGGUUGUUCGAAGUUGAUGCUCGAACCGGCAAAAUCAAAAUGAUUGUUUGGACACCAAAUCAAGCACCAACUUCGGCCAAACUAACAUUGCUCAUUUGUUACGUUAGUUUUUCCCCUUUUUUUAUGGAAAACAUUUAUAAUAUUACUUUCUUUUAAAAAAUAAACAUUAAGGGAUUAUUUUUUUAAUCUAAAUUUUAAUUAUUUUCAAACUUUUAGAGUUUUUAGGUUACAAUAUCCAAAUGAAUUAAUUAUAUUAUCUCAUCAACCAAUUGAUAAAUGCCACAAUAUUUGAGAUAGUUUUUUUUUUUUUUAUAAAAAGUUUGAAAUAUGUAUCACUACCAUUUAGACAAUCUGAUUAUUUUAUGUUAAAACAAAAUUAGUGAUCAAUAAUGGUCAAGAGACUUAUGUAAAGAAAAUGAUAUAAUUAAUUAAUUAUUUAAAAUUUCUCUAUAUUUUAAAUUUUAAAAUAAUGUAAAUUAUGUUUUGAAAUUGAAUGAAUGUACACGUAUUGUGGAGUACCGAUAUCCCUACCCAAUAGAAUAUUAUUUGGGUCUACCUUUUAAGAGGCUCGUCUCUUGGGAUUUGGGCCUUCAUUCUAAGCCUUCUUAGGGAUAUCAAUUGGGCAUAUUUUGAAUAAUAAAGAUUGCUAGGCUUAUGACAAUGCUCCAUUUGGUAUUCGUUUCAUUUGAACAUGCGCUUCUUUUAUGAACGCACGACAAGAAAAAGAAUACUGUAACGAGUGAUACGAGUCAAUGGAACUAAAUUAUACCCGUAUAAAUGCUUUCAAUUACUCAUUGCAAUUGUUAGAGCAUCUCCAAAAGGCUCUAUAAAUUUUACUCUUUAAAUAUCUAUUUGCUUACCUAUGUGGUAAAUAGAAGAGUGAAAAAAUAUGUUAUUCUCCAAAAGACUCUUCAAAUAUAAAUGAAUUAAUAUUAUUUUAAUUAAAAUAACUAUUUUUUUAAAAGAAAAGUCAAUAGUAAUUAAAGCACCUCUCUCUUUUUCUCCAACAAAAAGUAAUAAAAUAUAAAUUGAAGAGGGAGAAACCAACUCUCCAAAAUUGAAGAGGGAUCAUUUAUUAUUUGAAGAAUCUUAAUUAGAGUGUCUUUUGAAGCUUUAAAAGCUGACGUGGCUCUUCAAAUAAAUAAUAAAAUCUUAUUUGAAGAGUGUUUUGGUGAUGCUCUAAUCAUAUGAAAUGUUAGUCAUAAUCCUAGUUGGUGCAACAGUAGUUGAGCAUAUAUGGUCAAAUCCCCAAAACUUAUCCCGUUACUAAACAAGCCUGAAGUUAAAUUUACCCUGUGGAAGAAAGUCUUAGGUACUACAUGAGGGCCACAUCAUUUCUUUUCACACUGUAAUAUUAGAGCACUAGAAAAAUUGCCUAAAAUAUAUACAAUUAUAUAUCUGCAGGUUUUGGAUUUUAUCUAAUUAAAAGGAAUUGAAUCUUCUACAUAUUAUCAAAUUAAUCACUAGUAUUUAAAGAAAAUAUGGCUCUAGAGUAAUUCCAGGUUUUUUUUUUCUUUCAUUUUUCAGAGAGGAGUAAAUAACAACAAAAAUAAUCCAUUUCAUGGCCAAGAAUGCACAUUAACCGGAGAAAAAUAUGAUCUUAAAUGAUAAAACAAAAUGAAUAUAUAGUAAUUUUACUUACAAACUAGCAGUAUUUUUCACUUUCCUCUAUUUAGGAUUCAAAAAGUGAUAUUAUCUAGAUUAUUUCUAUGUUGAGUCAUUUGAACAUGUCAUCAAUAUUUAUUGAGUCAGGGCAUGUCACUUGUAUAACUAGGAAGGCAGAGAUGAGAUAAUUAGGAUUGGACCUUUAUUGAGACAUUUAAUUAAACACUUUACUAAAUAUAUCAAACACUUGUACACACCAGCAUUUAUAACAAUAAACUAUAUUUCAUUUUUACUCUCUACACAAACUUAAAUANNNNNNNNNNNNNNNNNNNNNNNNNNNNNNNNNNNNNNNNNNNNNNNNNNNNNNNNNNNNNNNNNNNNNNNNNNNNNNNNNNNNNNNNNNNNNNNNNNNNNNNNNNNNNNNNNNNNNNNNNNNNNNNNNNNNNNNNNNNNNNNNNNNNNNNNNNNNNNNNNNNNNNNNNNNNNNNNNNNNNNNNNNNNNNNNNNNNNNNNNNNNNNNNNNNNNNNNNNNNNNNNNNNNNNNNNNNNNNNNNNNNNNNNNNNNNNNNNNNNNNNNNNNNNNNNNNNNNNNNNNNNNNNNNNNNNNNNNNNNNNNNNNNNNNNNNNNNNNNNNNNNNNNNNNNNNNNNNNNNNNNNNNNNNNNNNNNNNNNNNNNNNNNNNNNNNNNNNNNNNNNNNNNNNNNNNNNNNNNNNNNNNNNNNNNNNNNNNNNNNNNNNNNNNNNNNNNNNNNNNNNNNNNNNNNNNNNNNNNNNNNNNNNNNNNNNNNNNNNNNNNNNNNNNNNNNNNNNNNNNNNNNNNNNNNNNNNNNNNNNNNNNNNNNNNNNNNNNNNNNNNNNNNNNNNNNNNNNNNNNNNNNNNNNNNNNNNNNNNNNNNNNNNNNNNNNNNNNNNNNNNNNNNNNNNNNNNNNNNNNNNNNNNNNNNNNNNNNNNNNNNNNNNNNNNNNNNNNNNNNNNNNNNNNNNNNNNNNNNNNNNNNNNNNNNNNNNNNNNNNNNNNNNNNNNNNNNNNNNNNNNNNNNNNNNNNNNNNNNNNNNNNNNNNNNNNNNNNNNNNNNNNNNNNNNNNNNNNNNNNNNNNNNNNNNNNNNNNNNNNNNNNNNNNNNNNNNNNNNNNNNNNNNNNNNNNNNNNNNNNNNNNNNNNNNNNNNNNNNNNNNNNNNNNNNNNNNNNNNNNNNNNNNNNNNNNNNNNNNNNNNNNNNNNNNNNNNNNNNNNNNNNNNNNNNNNNNNNNNNNNNNNNNNNNNNNNNNNNNNNNNNNNNNNNNNNNNNNNNNNNNNNNNNNNNNNNNNNNNNNNNNNNNNNNNNNNNNNNNNNNNNNNNNNNNNNNNNNNNNNNNNNNNNNNNNNNNNNNNNNNNNNNNNNNNNNNNNNNNNNNNNNNNNNNNNNNNNNNNNNNNNNNNNNNNNNNNNNNNNNNNNNNNNNNNNNNNNNNNNNNNNNNNNNNNNNNNNNNNNNNNNNNNNNNNNNNNNNNNNNNNNNNNNNNNNNNNNNNNNNNNNNNNNNNNNNNNNNNNNNNNNNNNNNNNNNNNNNNNNNNNNNNNNNNNNNNNNNNNNNNNNNNNNNNNNNNNNNNNNNNNNNNNNNNNNNNNNNNNNNNNNNNNNNNNNNNNNNNNNNNNNNNNNNNNNNNNNNNNNNNNNNNNNNNNNNNNNNNNNNNNNNNNNNNNNNUUAAGUGAAAAGAAUUAAGAGCAUCGGCAAAACUUUAUUUGCGGCGGUAGUCAAAUUGAUUGAGUUGUUUCAAAACUACAGAUUAUGAAUAUGUAGAGUUUUGAUAUAGUGUGCGUCUGUCGUGCACUAUAAUAUGUAUACUCAUCUAUUCACAAAAUAUAUAGCUAGUUAGAGAUUAUACAUAUACUCUUAAUUGGACUUAUAUAUAUGCUAUUGUGCACUCUAUUAGAUAAAUAAGUAGUCAAAUUGAUUGAAUUGUAUCAAAAACUAAAGAUCAUGCGUAUGUAGAGAACUGACUUAGUGUGCGUUAGUCGUGCACCAUAAUAUGUAUACUCAUCUAUACAAGAAAUAUAAUAUAUCCAAUGACGCUUAUAAAGUAUUGAGAUGAUAACAGAAUGAUGUCGUUAAUGUUGUAAUGAUUGACAAUAUUACAUUAUAUUGUAGAGUUAAUUUAGUGCUUAAAGCUCCUUAUGAUUGUACUCCUUGUAUGUUUAUAGAUUGCAUGAACCAACUAUAAUAUUUAUUUUUAUCUCUUGGGUUUGCAAAACAUUUAAAUCUCUAUUUCGUUCAUGAAGUUAAAUUAUUUAUGAAAAAUGUAAAAAAAUAAAAAUAAACAUUUUAAUCCAUGUAUAAUUUUUUAACAUUUAUUAAUCUUUCCUUUUGGAGGAAACUCAAAAUCAAUGGAACAAAUUUUAAAUCCUGUAUAUUUUGAAGCUGCAAUAAGAGGCAAUGUCAAUGAUUUUCCAUUUUCUGACAUCACUAAACAAGAUUUACAUCAUAUUUUUUGAGAAAGUCUUUCCUGAUGGCAAUAUUUUACUUUAUGUGGUGGCUAAGUUUGGUCACAGUGAAAGUUUUGCACAAAUAGCUCACUAUUAUCCAUUUCUAAUCAAUAAGAAGAACAACCAAGGAGAUACUCCUUUUCAUUGUGCUACUCCAGCUGGAAAGUUAAAACAACCACCACGCUCAUCAACUUUGCUAAACAUAUUCCUAGUACAUUGCAAGCACCAAUGAAUUUGCUAAGGAUGGAGAACUCAAUGGGAAACACAACUUUGUAUGAAGCCUUGUUUAUGCUAGGCAAAUUUGCUACAUGGAAUAUAAGUACUACUAAUAGUUUUCUGGGCAUGACUCAUUCCUAUUUCUCAUCAAAUCCUACAUUAGCCAUAUCUGAGAUAAUAAAGACAAGUAACUCCUUAAUAGCUUUAGCUUAUUUUCUUGUCUCAUUGGAUCCUGGUUUGUCUUGUCGCAAGAACGUUGCAGAUACGAUCCUUUUAUAUUUGACGACUAAAAUAAAAAACAUGGAUAUUCUGGAAUAUAUUUUGAGAAGUCUACCUUACAAUAUAAGUUAGUCGUAAAUUCUUCUUUGCAAAUCGCCAAAAAGAAAAGAAAUCAAGGUAUUUGAAAUUCCAACAUUAUUUUCCAUAUCUUUCAUUUUAAAAGCAUAGUUUUCUUUUUCAAAAUUUAUUUAAAAAGUUGUAUUAUUAUGUUUUCUGUUUUGAAUUUCAGAUGUGCUAUAUCUGACUAAUGAGUACAAACUAGAGCUUCUUCUUUUAGAAUGUGGAAAUGGAAACAUUUCACUCCACUUUACUACGUCAAAUGACUACCUUAAAGUGUACAUCCUACUUGAAGUUAAUGGUCAUAGUGCUUUCAAAUAAAAUAAAGAGACCUUUUAUCCCAUAUACCUUGCAUGCAAAAAUAGUCAUUUUAAGAGACCUUUUAAGAUGCUAAAAAAGUAACCCUACCUAAGUUUGUUUGUCACUGAUAGUGGUUGCAACAUUCUAGAAUUUAUAGCCAAGAAUGAGAUGGUUAAUUCCAUCGUCUAGAUCUAGAAACUAAUAUAACCAAGGAUGAGGUAGUUAAUUAGAUGAAUGAGAAUGAGAAUACCCUUUUGCAUUUGGUAGCCGUGCAUGGCCAUUCUCAGGUUGUUUAUACUAUACUCAGAUAUGGNNNNNNNNNNNNNNNNNNNNNNNNNNNNNNNNNNNNNNNNNNNNNNNNNNNNNNNNNNNNNNNNNNNNNNNNNNNNNNNNNNNNNNNNNNNNNNNNNNNNCUCAGAUAUGGUAGAGCAUAUCAUGGCCUUAAGAACGAGCUAGUCUUAGCAACCUAUAAAAUGACUUUGGAAGAAUAUAACAUGCAAAUGAAUAUAUUUGGAAAAUACAAAAAAACUAUGAAGGUAGUGGCACUUUCUCUUUAUUAUCUCAGAACUUACUCUAAAAAUAAUGCUUGUUUUAACUUUCUAUAUAAUAUUGUGAUUCAUUAAUCUUAUGAAUUUUUCAGUUGCAAACAACUCAUAAAAAGAUUACUGCUUAUGGUGAAACCUCAUGAGUAUCAGGUCAGAAAAGUAAUGAAAAUAAAGUUAAAUUGUAAGUAUAAAUCACUCGAUCUUAUCUUAAAGCAUAUCUAAAUAAUACUUAAUUAAUGUCUAUUAUUGUAUAUCCUUGAAAUUUUAGGGACAACGUUAUAUAUCCAUAAAUUAAUUAACAAAUAUAUCAAAUUUAUUUAGCCCAUUGCAUAUGGUGAAAGCCCAAGAGGAUCAUGUUAGACUUUAGAGAAAUGACGAAUAUAUCAAGAUAAAUUGGUGAGUACAAAUCAUUCUAUUUGGUCUUAUGAUUUUUGUUUGUGUAUUUUUAUAGUUGAAUUAUAAAUCAAUUAUAUCUUUACAUCACAAUGUUACAUGUAUUUCUCUAGUUGAAAUGUAUAAAGAUUGAAAUAGACUAAUACUGCACACAAAAAAAUUCAAAGAACAACACUACUUUUUCAUUAUUCACAUGCAUGAUAUAUAACACAUAUUGUUUCAUUGCUCAAUGUCCUUGCAUGAUAUAACAACUCUCAUUUGUUAAUCAUUUCCUUACUUGAUCUUACCUCUAUAUCAUUUAGAGUAUUAUUGUUAUAUGCUAAGUCAUCUGAAUAUGUCAUCAAUACUUGCUGAUUCAUGUCAUUUGUAUGGCUAGGAAGGUAGAGAUGAGAUGAUUAGGUUAGGAUCUUCACUAGGACAUUCAAACACUUUGCUAAAUAUAUCAAACAACUUACAUACUAACACUUAUAACGAUAAAAUAUAUUUCAUUUUAUUUAUUUACAUAUGCUUAGUCUAUUUUUGAAUUCUUUAUUCUACAGAAGAAGACACUAUUAAUUUAUUUCUACAAUGAGUAGGAUUAUGAAAGGAAAAUGACACAUUUUUUAAUCCAUUUCUCGUUGAGAAGUUAAGCAAAAAAGAAGUCCAGACACUAUCUCCAUUCAAAAAUCACAAAUUCUGUUAAGGAUUUUUGAUUUUUUGAUACGAAAGAAGAGUUUCUAGUAACCAAUCGAUUGAGUUUUACUAUUCUUUUAGGUUUGUGAUUUUUGGAGGAUAGUUUUUGAGUAAAUUCACCAUUUAUUAGUAAGGGAAUGUACCAUUUUGACUUUUUAAUUAUUUAAACUAACCGAAGUAAUUAAUAAAUUAGGAUUUAAAUGUCUUUUUCAAAAUGGUAGGAAGUUUUGUGUCCCUUUCUAUAAAUGUUUAGGGUAUCAAUUCUUUUACAUAAUUAGUUCUUAAUAUAUGCCUUUGUAAUGACAGUAUCUAUAAAUUAAUAUAUUUCUUGAGGGUCAAGGGAGGGUAUUUUUUUAAAGAAAGGCUUACAUAAUUAAUUAUCACGCGUAUUCAAAACAAUCUUUAAUGAUAAAAUACUAAAGCUAACACAUUCAUGGUAACAAUUUGUUGAAAAUAAUUUAGGCUAAUUGUUCGAAGGGUUAUAUUAGGGUAAAUUUGGGAUUGCAAUAUUAGCCUUCCUAAAGAAGAAGAUUUUAUACAAAUUCUCAAAAAGAGAGAGAGAGAGAGAGAGAGAGAGAGAGAAAUCCGCUUUACAAAUAAUUUGCAAAUAUUCUUGGUAAAUUUAGAAUAUUCUUAGAUAAUAUUAUUACUUAUUAAUUACAUAUUAAAGUGUGUAUAUGUGUGAAUUGACCAAAAUAGCCAUGUUACUAUGUCUGGCAAUGUAAGUAAUUAUGUUACUACAUCAUUAAUAUUCACUUUCCAAGUAUUGCAAAAAAUAUUCUUUAAUAAGUUACUAAUAUGAAUGAGUUUUACUUAAAUUACAAAAGAAUUAAUAUGAAUAGCUAUAUUAUUAUAUAAGUAAUAAUUAAAAGCAAAAAACGAAAACGAAAAAAUAAAAAAUCACCAGCAGUUAUAAUUCUAAUUUAUGAACCUAAAAUUACAAGGUAAUGCUCUAUCUGGUAAGAUCAAGCAUUGGCAUGGACAAAAUAUAUCACCCGCAAUUAUAAUUCCAAUUUAUGAAUUUCAGUAUUUUUUAUUUAUUUGAUUUUGUAAAGAAUGUACUUAUGAAAUUAUGUAAUUUCUUUGAGGCCACUUAUGGUAUUUAAAUAUAUUUAACUGUAAACAUUUUGGAAAGUUAUUAUAGGCCACCCCACUAUUAAGUAUUAAGAAUCAAUAAUAAAGUUGAAUUUUUUGAUGUUUAAGAAUCACUUUUGAAAUUGGUAUGCCAAACUUAUUUUGAGUGCUAGAUUGUCGAAUGUGUGAUAAUUACGUAUUUGACAAUCUAAUCCCAAACAUGCUAUUAUUCUUUUACUACUCCAAUUACACUAAAAUAACAAACAACUAUACAGCAAUUAUUGAAUUGUAAAUUCUUACAUGUUAAAUAAUAAACAUAAAAGUCGUCUUUACAGGGAGUAGUGGAUUCCAGAACCCUAAUUUUAUAUCUCAUAUACCACCUCCAGUUUUGUUACAGCAAGAGGCCAAUAUCUCCAUGGUCACUAUAGAGAGGAUCUGCACAUUUUCGCUGAGGGUGAUAGCCAUCUUGACGACAUUUUCGGCGACGAUUGUGAUGAUCACAAGCCAUGAGAGAGUUAGAUUGAACGAAGUGUCAUAUGAAGCAAAGUACAGUGACAUGCCAACAUUCAAGUUCUUUGUAAUAGCAAACGCAAUUGUAUGCAUCUAUGGCCUUCUGGUUCUCUGUCUUCCUUCGAAGAGUUUGCUCUGGGGAUUAAUCGUUGCUUUAGAUAUGGUUUUGACGAUGUUACUUACUUCAAGCAUUUCGGCUGCUUUAGCAAUUGGUCAAGUGGAAAAGAAUGGGAAUUCGUCGGCAGGUUGGUUACCAGUUUGCGGCCAAGUCCCCAAGUUUUGUGAUCAAAUUACAGGAGCUUUAGCUGUUUCCUCCAUUGGAGUAAUUAUUUAUAUGUUGCUGAUUCUCUACGCCAUCCACAAUGCCCUAGAUCCUCUUCUUGUUCACAAUUCUUGAGAUUUCUUUGCCAUAGUGGUCAUUCAUUUUGCUGAUUUUAUUAUUUUUUUUUCUAUUUUCAUGGUGUUUAUAGUUGUAAACGGUAGUUCUAGAGUCUCUAGUUUUAACCUAGUAAUUUUAUUAAGAGAAAAUUUUAGGUGAUGUCGAAACUACCGUGAGCUCUUAACACCAUUAAUUAGGGUUACACAUGCAUUUCUUACUAAAUUAUACAUAUAUGACAUAUUAUAUAUUAAAUGUGAAAUGAUCCAGUAAGGGCUGGUUCUAGAGUUUUUGGGACCUUAGCCAUGCAGUCGUGUGGGGACCAUGGACUCUAUUUCUUUAAUGCAAGAAAAGCUCGCAAGUAACAAUGUUAUCCGUUGUUAAUCUUAAACAAAUUAAAAAAAAAAAAAAGGUCAUCAUUACAGGGAAUGUAUAUCAAUAAUUUCGACUUUCGUUUUCAUCAUCUAUAAGGCUUAGCAAUUUAACGAUCAAGAGUAUGCGGAAAAUAACCAUUCAACUAAAAAGAGUAUCAAAAUUGUAAUUUCAAUGAAAAUUAAUAGACCAGAACAAAGAUACCACUGCAUUAAAGAAUAUCAGAUAUCGGAAGGACUUCAAGGGUGACCAUUUGCCUUCGAAUGAAAAGUGCCAUACAUGAUUAUAUAUCCAAUUGUGUUUAGAGAAUAGAGAUCAGUGUCGUGGAUUAUGUUGCAGUUUCAUCCUGGCUGUUAUAAUCAACCUGCCGGAAAAAUUCCCAGAACUGAACAACUCCUGUCUGCCUGCCUCUCCUUUUCGACAACCUUGGCAAGUUAAAUUACUGAAUUUCCUGCUUGCUUUUCUCGUCUUCACUAAUAUUGUAUUUGUAAAUUAAAAAAAAAAAAGUAAGACAGACUAUGAGUUUUAAUCUGAGUUCUAAUUAUUGUGAGUCACUCCUUAAUUGGAUGAUGAAUUUUCUAAUUUGGUCAUGGAAUCAUCCAAUAGAUGGGUUACUUAAUUUUAAUAGCAAUUAAAAUAACAAUUUCAAUUAUAGCUACGACUAUUAAUUAAAAUUUAAAAUUGUAAUUAUGAUUAUAGUAAAAUAACAAGAAAAUAAACUUCAACCAUUUAAAGAUAUACUGUUGUACCAUAAUAUUAGAGACUUGAAAUCCACAAACUUCAUUUUUUUUCUCUUAUUUGUUGUAUAAGAAAUUCCUCAAGAAUACUCUAGAUUUAAGAGAAAACUAAGUCAGAUUACAUUUUUUUUCUGAAAAUUAUUAUUAAAAAUACUCUUAUUAACUGACUGUGGAUAGUUUUGGCGUGAAAUGAAAAAAAAAAAAGAAUAUGAAAUCCUUGGCGUGAAAUGAAAAAAAAAAAAGAAUAUGAAAUCCUUUUGAGUAUCAAAUAUUAUUAAAAAAAAAAAAGAUACGAUUAGCAUUAUCAAUUCGUAUCAAAAUAGACUGAAAUCAGAAACAAAAUAAGUUGUUUAUUUUGACUCUAAAAUUAAAAUUUUAAUGAACUAUUACAAGUAGUCAAAAUGUCCUUAGUUAAUUAUUAUUAUUAUUAUUAUUAUUAUCUAGUAAAGAUAAUAAUAACCGAAAAGCAAUAUAAUAAAUAAUAUAACAAUAAUAUAUUAUUAUACUAUUACUAAAAAUACUAAUAAAAAUAAUAACGACGGUAACAAUAAUAAAAUAUUAAAAAUAUUUUAAUCGGCCCAAACGUUGUGGAUGACUGCAUCGUUUAGCAUUCUGCUAGAAAACGACAAUUUGCUCUUUGAAUAAACAAAACGCCAACAUUCCUAAAUGGCAUAUGGCAUAGUCCAGAUGACUCGUUGAUUAUCUUUUAACACAAUCCUUAUUGAAUCCAGCCUCUAAAUGACGUGACAUGUUCUUUCAAAAAAUUAUUAUAAAAAAUAUUCUUAUCAAUUAAGUGGGGAUAAUUUUGGGUGCGAAAUAAAAAAAUAAAGAUUAUGAACUCUUUUUAUAAGCUAAAUAUUAUUUUAAAAAAUAUAAUUAGCAUUAUCAAUUUGUAAUUGGAAUAGAGUAGAAUUAAAAUCAAAAUAAGUUGUUAUUUAGCUAUAAGAAUCAUAAUCGAAAUGAAUUAUAUUCCUAUCAAUGUAUUUACUUCAUCUAAAAAUCAGAAUGUAAGAAAAAUACUACAAGUUUACAAUAUUAUGGUGAAGCUACUUGAAAAAGCCUUGAAAUAUAUUAAGUUUACAAUAUUAUGGUGAAACUACUUGAAAAAGCCUUGAUAUAUAUUACCAAAAAAGAAAAAAAAAGGAAGAAAAAUUAUAUACUAAUGUGACCUUAUUUAAAACUUCAUAACCAAGAUAAUUAAGAAAAUACCAUUAAAAAUAUAACAAUUAUUCAGAAAAAAACUCAAAUGAUUAAGGAAAAUGUGAAGCUAUUUGAGGUAUAGAAAUAUAUAGCCCCCUAUACAUUUGAAUUAAAAAAACCGAAAAACAAUACCUCAAAAAAUCUGCAAUAAGAAUAAAGAUAUGAAAUUUGGAAAACAGAAAAAGGAUGAAGUUUCAAGCUUACAUAAUUAACUUAUCAAAUUCGAGUUCAAAAAGCAAGAAUUCAACACGUACAUAAUUAAUUUGAUUGUAUUCGUUUUGAUGUAGCUUAAUCUUAUAGAGGGUAUUUUUUUUUUUUUUCUAAUGUGGCACAAUAGGUAAAUGCUCAAUAAAUUAAUUUUGUAAUAUUAUUUCAUGCGAGGCGAUCAUGUGCCAUAAGCUUUAUUAAUCAAAAUAGUCUAUCUUGAUUGAAUAUUUUAAUAUUCUAUAUAUAUUUAAUUAGCAAAUUGUGAAUUUUCUCUUUGUCUUUUGCAUAAAUGUCAAUUGAACUGAGUAUGUGAAGAAUGACUUAAACCACUUAAGUUUCUACUUCCUAAUAAUCAAAUGUUAAUACCUCAUUUCAAUAUUCCGUCCAUGGUACUUGAAAUAGUAAUUAAAGAAUAUAUAUUAUUGACAAGUAAAUAUGAUUCUCUAACAAACAAAUGAAUUAGAUUUAAUUCACCAAUAAUAUUAUGCUUACUUAGUCAAAAUACUUAGUUUGUAUUUUAACUGAUGUGGCAAACAAUGUGUUAUUAUUUGAUUAGUUCAAGUGAUAGUUGAUUAUUAAAUUUCAUCAUUUCUAAUGAAAAUAAUGAAAUUAUUUUGGUAAUAGACCAAUUGGGAUACUAAAAAAUUUAUCAAAGUUCCAAGUGAUAAAAACAAAUUUUAAGAUGGAUAAAAGUUUUACUCUCACCUAAUUAUCUUUUAAACGAUGUGAAUUCAUAUAAUAAAAUCAACUUUGGAUUUAAGCCAAGGUUAAGGACUUAGAAUUGAUAUGUGGAUUCAAAAGAACAAAAAUAUCCAAGAUAUCCUUCUAUUUGACGAAAUUAACUUUUUUUUUUCAUGUUUUAAAAAACUUACCAAUCUCCUUAAUUAGCAGUCUCUUAACUUAUAGAAUGUUAAAUAGCUCAAAAUAUUUUUUUGGAGGGUUUCAUUUUUUUUAAAUAGAAAAAUCUAAUAAUUGAAAAAUGAAUAGAUUUUAAUACUAAUUUUAGAGGAAUUUACCAAUAAUUCUGUAAACAUCAAGAAUGAUUCAGGGAACGAGUGAAGAAAAGAUAAACAAGAAGCAAAAAGUCGCACUCCAACCAAAUGUGUCGUCAACCUUUUGCAUAAGCAAAAGUUCAAUUACAAGAAUGGCCGCCAUAAUUUCAACAUAGUAAGAAGCGCAAAAUCCCAAGAGAAAACAAUAAUUCUAUUGACCAACCUUAUUAAUAAAAUACUUUUUUAUUAUUAUUUAACACCAUUAAUUUUUUUGGGGAAAACUAUUUACACCCACAUGUCAUAUGUAUUAUAUAUUAUUUAACAACUUUUUAUCUUUUAAACACCUCCCAAAAACCCUUUUUCCUUUUCUUUCUUUCUUUUUUUUCCCCCCUCUAUUGGAUUAAACAAAUUUUUUUUUUUAAACCAGAAAAUAAUCGAAAGCCUUAUUAUUCCUUUUGCAAAUCAAAUAUGGAAUACAGGCUAUGCACAGCCAUCAAUGGAAUUAUGGUAAGAACACAAUUGCAUACCAGACAAACAAAUUUUGAGCGCUCUGCUUAGAUGCGGAAAAAAUAUAUAUAUUGGAUUUGAACAAUAAGAAAGAAUUGAAAUACUGGGGUUCCGCGAGAAAUUAUUUAUUUAAAGAGAGGUGUUAUUAGACAUUUAUAUUUUAUUUUUAAGUACUUAAAUAUGGGUUUUAACUUUUAAGGGGUUCAAUUUUCUCUCUAAAACCUGAUGAAUCAACCACACGCGCCAUCACCGCAGGCCCCUGGGCCCUGGUGACGCAGCAGCAAUUAUAACAGCCUCUCAAAAGUUUCAAACCUAACGAACAUUUGACUGAGCUUUUGACUUUUGUAAUGCAUGUGCAAGACACGUGAUCUGGGCUUUUAAACAACAACAGCCUAAACGACAGUUUCUUUGAUUCUCUCCGGUGUUGUUUUGAUUCACCAACCUGACAGAAAGGCCGUGUGUACAGAUUUUAUCCCUUCAAUUUCCUUAUUGCUGCCUCCGGUUCAAUGAAACCCAAGUUAAGAGUACAUUAGUAAAAAUUUACUAAUGGGCGCAUAAAAAUUUACUUUUUGUUUAAUAAAACGUAACGGGUUAUUUGUACCUUAAAUUAUAAUCUGCAUCUCACAAAUAUUUAAUAGAAUUUGCGGUUACUAAACGUCCACGAUAUUGGAAUUAAUUGUCAAGGACAAUUAUUAUAAGUGAAAACAUGUUGUCAUUCUUCAAAUUCAUCCAAUUCACUCAUUCUUAUAUUAACACGGUAAUAUUUUCUCUUCAACACCAAAUUUGAUGCAAAGUGCUUAUGGGAUACGAUGCAAUUGACAGCAAAACUGUAAACUGUUUUCUGAAAUUAUGUAUGGUGCUUUGGAGCGUCAUUAUCACUGCAUUGUAGCACUCUACUCCCAGAACAUAAAAAAUAAAAAUUGCGUGAGACCAGACCACAACUUCAGUGUCGUAUAGUAGGUCCUACAACGAAUCUAUAAACUUUUUAAAUAUUAAGUUUAGUCAAAUACACCGAUGAUGAUCGCUCUUUGUAACCCACUACUAUGACAUGCGACAAAGUAUCAUUGGAUCACAAGUUUUUACCCCAAACUAAUCCUAAGUUAGAUACUUAGACUACUGUAUAUGAAUUAUAUAACACCAACAAAUGUUAAGUAAUAAUUGACUUUUGUAUUAUUAUUUAUGUAAAAUAAUUAAAUAAUAUUAAUCAAUAAAAUAACGCGUUAAAUAUAAUACAAAUGUUGAGGCGAUGGGCCGGUUCAAUGAAUUUUUAUUUUUUUUACGUGAUAGAGCGGGUUUUACUGUGAGAUUCAUCAUUUUUUAAAUAUUAAGUUUUUCCCCCAAAAUAACCCUAAGCUUUAAAACUUGGAUAAUUUUAUAUCAAUGAUGUGCAAUCAAUAGAAUGUUAAGUAAUAGUUGAUUGUUUUAUUAUCAUUAAUAUUAAAAAAAUUAAAAAUAACAUGCUAUAUAUAUCAUACUAUUUAAAACUAAAAUUUGGUUUGGAAUCUUCAUCGAAGGCUAAACAUUAAUUAUUGCGAUGAGUUUAAUAGACUAAGGAGUUUUAAUAGAGUUUGAUGGAGUUUUAAUAGACAGAAUAACACAUUAAUUAUCACAAAUUUUGGCAAAUCGGCUAAAAUUGAUAGGUAAUUUUGUAAUAAUUAUUUUAUUCAAGCAAGAGUGUUCAGAAUCAUUUUUGUCUUACCUAGAUUUUUUUUUCAAAAAAAUGGCUUUCUUCUUGUGGCUCCCUAAUUUUUAAUCAUUUAUUGAAUAAGGAUUUAGUUUGUUCAUUUUAUCAAAAAGGUCCUCAUUCUCAACUUAUGUACUUAAUGUGAUUAGUAUUAUAUUUAUGUCGCAGGACAAUUAUAUAUAUCUGUAAUUUCGAUGCUUGCAUUUUUGUUGUGAUUGCUUCAUUCUAGUGGCAACAAGUUUACCGGAUUCAUAUUUUGUGAUACUUAUUACAGCUAUUGUCAAACCUAUAUAUAUAUAUAUAUAUAUAUAUAUAUAUAUAUAUAUAUUUUGGAGAAAUAUAGUUAAACCCAUUUGAAUACUUUUUUCGUUUCAAGAGUUUUAAAAAUAUAGAAUGUUCAUAAUGACAUCCAAAAAUUGUACCCAAAAAAAUUAAAUUUAGUUUAGUUGUCAAAAUUUUGGUUAUUUUAAAUUACAUGAUUAUGUAAGAUACAUUAAUCAUCAAAACUCAUGCAAAUAAUCAAACAAUGUCAACGUAUUGAGAUAAUGGAGUAAAAGAAAAUAGCUUGACUAAUAUAGAAUUCGUUGUUCAUAACUUUUAGUUACCUUGAACCUCCAAUUGAUGUAAUUUGAUGUCACGAGCUAUACGUAACUGCGUUGCAUUUGUUAUUGCACACAAUGGAAAGAAUUAACACUAAUUUUCCUCAUUAUAUAUGGAAUAUGAUAUUAAAAAAAGUAAUGAUAUAAUCACAACUACCUUUAUAUUUGUACACACUAAUGUCUAGUUGUCGUCAACCUUUUGCAUAAGUAAGUUCAAAUAGGAUGGCUGCCGUAAUUUCAGCAUAGUAAGAAGCGCAUUAAAAAAAAUUAAAAAAAAUUAUUAAUGAGAUUGGUCGGUAGAAUUAUUAUUUUGAUCCAUAUAAGUUUACUGGACUUAUGAAUGACGAGGCUUCGUUUGGUCAUUCAUGUAUGUCAGUAUAUAUAUUUAAACGAUAUUCAUAUAUAAUUUGUAAUGACAGGAUUAAUUGAUAUUUUUUGACAUGUACAUGUAUGUUGAACUGACUUCACAUGUACAUGUAUGUAUAUUUAAAACAGUUUGUCAUGAUAAAGUCGAUACAUGCAUUAAUUUACUGGCGACAAUUUACUGAAAGUCCAUUUUAUCACGAUGUGAAUCUAAUUGAAAGUAUCUGAACUAGUCAAUCACAUAACAUAAAAAGGAGGAAAAAUGAUAAGACAAGCCAGAUACUAUUUAUACUAAUCUCACGUUGUUGAUCACAUUGUGUCCCAAAUCAUUCUUCUGAUUGGAUUUUUUUUUUUUGGUUAAGUUGUUAUAAUCAAUAGAAAUUUACAAUUUGAAAUUUAUUAAAACUCUAGAUACAGACGCAUAUAAUACAACUCCGAGGUCUGGUGAGCAUUGAGUUUGGAAAAAAUGUCCCACUCACAAAUAAGGAGAAAUAUUUUUCAUUCAAUGGGAAUGAACCGGGUAAUUUUUAAAAACCUCCCCUGAGGUUUGGGCUUAUUGCAAGUAGAUGGCGAGAAUUUAUUUAUUUGUAAAAAAACUCCUACCGUCAGUUAACUUUAACAUUGACCGUUAGUUGACUGUGCAAAGACAAUAUUACCCUUAACAACAGUUUGUAGACGGAAAUAACUAAAAAAAAGAUUAAAAUUGUUGGUUAUUUUACCCUCUUUAAAUUAUUGAUAUUUUCUUAAAGUUCCUACAAGAAAGAUAAAAUUAAAAAUUUGAAAAAUCCUCUUUAAAUUAUUGAUAUUUUCUUAAAGUUCCUACAAAAAAGAUAAAAUUAAAAACUUGAAAAUGAAAUAGUUAUAAUCUUUACAUAUGAUAUUGUAAAUCUUUGGAAUUGACAAGGAUAAAAUUGUCAAAAAAUAGAAUUUGUGCUUUUCGCGCCAACAAUUUUAAUUUUUAUUUUAGUUAUUUCCGUAUACAAACUGUUGUUAAGGGUAAUAUUGUCUUUGCACAGUCAACUAACGGUCAAUGUUAAAGUUAACUGACGGUAGGGGAUUUUUUACAAAUAAACAAAUUUUCACCAUCUACUUGCAACAAGCCCAAAUCUC
rnacentral:lncRNA from 1 species